rnacentral:rRNA from 1 species
UACAGAGGUCCCGAGCGUUGUUCGGAUUCAUUGGGCGUAAAGGGUGCGUAGGCGGCGGGGUAAGUUUGAUGUGAAAUUCCGGGGCUCAACCCUGGCAUGGCAUUGAAUACUACCUUGCUAGAGUACCGGAGAGGAAACUGGAAUUUACGGUGUAGCAGUGAAAUGCGUAGAGAUCGUAAGGAAGACCAGUGGCGAAGGCGAGUUUCUGGACGGUAACUGACGCUGAGGCACGAAGGCCAGGGGAGCAAAACGGGG